rnacentral:rRNA from 1 species
UAAGUUGGAUGUGAAAGCCUAUGGCUCAACCAUAGAACUGCAUCCAAAACUAUUGGGCUAGAGUGUGGGAGAGGAAGAUGGAAUUAGUUGUGUAGGGGUAAAAUCCGUAGAGAUAACUAGGAAUACCAAAAGCGAAGGCAAUCUUCUGGAACAUUACUGACGCUGAGGCGCGAAAGCGUGGGGAGCAAACAGGAUUAGAUACCCUGGUAGUCCACGCCCUAAACGAUGAAUGUUAGUCGUCGGGUAGCUAGUCUAUUCGGUGAUGCAGCUAACGCAUUAAACAUUCCGCCUGGGGAGUACGGUCGCAAGAUUAAAACUCAAAGGAAUAGACGGGGACCCGCACAAGUGGUGGAGCAUGUGGUUUAAUUCGAAAAUACGCGAAGAACCUUACCUAGCCUUGACAUAUAUUAGAACACUUUAGAGAUAGAGUGGUGCCUUCGGGAGCUUUUAUACAGGUGCUGCACGGCUGUCGUCAGCUCGUGUCGUGAGAUGUUGGGUUAAGUCCCGCAACGAGCCAACCCUCGUCACUAGUUACUAACGGUUCGGCCGAGGACUCUAGUGAGACUGCCUUCGUAAGGAGGAGGAAGGUGAGGACGACGUCAAGUCAUCAUGGCCCUUACGGCUAGGGCAACACACGUGCUACAAUGGCCAGGACAAUGAGAAGCGAUACCGCGAGGUGGAGCAAAUCUAUAAACCUGGUCUCAGUUCGGAUUGUAGUCUGCAACUCGACUACAUGAAGCUGGAAUCACUAUUAAUCGUAGAUCAGCUAUGCUACGGUGAAUACGUUCCCGGGUCUUGUAC